AGUCGAGCCCAACGGCAACAAUGUGCCCUAAUAGAACACUCUACACGAGUGUUUGCAUUUUUAUUAACAAACUAAAUCAAAUUAAUUUUAAAAAUCAUGGCGCGUUUAAUUAAUAAAUUUCCAGAACCUACACGAAAUGCAGCUCAAUACGCCAUUCGGUAUGAUCGAUUUGGCGCUGUGGCCAGAUUAUUUUGGCGCGGCUGAAGCUUAUCGCAGCUGAAUCAUGGCCUCAUUGGCGACGCAAUCCAGAGGUUGAAGGACAAAGAGCGUCAUUGCAUGGACAUGUCACUGCAGUAACUGAAGGUCUCGAACAUGGCAGGCAUCAAUUGUUCAAGAAACUGAUGAAGAUGGCCUCUGCGCAAUGCUAUGUGAUAUUGGCGUAAUUUGUGGAAGUUCUGUUUGAUCUUCAAAUAUACCUCCCAUCA